rnacentral:rRNA from 3 species
CUGGCGGCACUAGCGCGGUGGUCCCACCUGACCCCAUGCCGAACUCAGAAGUGAAACGCCGUAGCGCCGAUGGUAGUGUGGGGUCUCCCCAUGCGAGAGUAGGGAACUGCCAG